AAUUGUAAUUUAGUAAACUAAAAAGGCCUUAUUGGCAUGUGUUGCAAUGUUAAUAUUUCAUCAUUGAUAUAUAAACUAUCAGACUACGUGGUGGGUAGUAGUGAGUUUCAGUAGGCCUUUAAGGACAAGCGGUAGAAAAUAGAUGAAUGGGUGGAUGUUUUGAAGCCUUUGGACGCUUAGCCCUGUCAGCGACCGUAGGUUGAGGAGCACCCGCCUCUCCAGCCGCACAGGCGGGGCCCAGCAACAGCAGCAGUACUGUGGUCAUUGCGGAGGAGACAAUAAGCAAUGGCGCCUUUAUUGUUUAGAGAGGAAGAACCACUUGAUGUGUGUCAUAGCACGGCUGCAAGCCUUGUUUUCUGGUGUAAUUACAACCUGACACCGUGUUAAGAGACGCCAGCUAUCUUGCACAGCCAUCGGUACCACCACGUCAUGCCGUCAUCAUCCGGGACGGCUUUUGUGGGCGCUGCAGUCUCCUCGGAGCUCAUCUUGGAGGAAGCACACACUCUUGGCUACUGUACUGGAGCCAACUCACGCAAAGUCCGGUGGCUUUAAACGAAACAAAACCAGCAGCACUUCGGAGUCGACAAGCCUGUUUGUUGUUUGGCUCCUUGGAGUUAGCCAGUCGCUAGCUAAUGCUAACAAGCGCCGCCUAAGCUGCCGAGAGCAUUAACGUCACUUGUAAACUUCUCAAAAGCUGUUUCGUGGUGUUUGGAUUCAAUGAAAUUAACCUACAACUGAGUAAGAAUAAAAAAAAUAAAAAAUAAAAAACAUACUGAUUUUGUUGUU